rnacentral:rRNA from 1 species
GGAGGUGGCAAGCGUUACUCGGAAUUAUUGGGUGUAAAGGGUAAGUAGGCGGUCUAUUAAGUGAGGGGUGAAAUCUUCCGACUCAAUCGGAAAACUGCCUUUCAAACUAAUAGACUUGAGGUUGGAAGGGGGAAACGGAAUUAGCAGUGUAAGGGUGAAAUCUGUAGAUAUUGCUAAGAACACCGGCGGCGAAGGCGGUUUCCUGGUCCAAAUCUGACGCUAAAUUACGAAAGCUAGGGGAGCGAACAGAAUUAGAUACCCUGGUAGUCCUAGCUGUAAACGAUGAGCACUAGGUGUUGGUCCUUCGGGAUCAGUGCCCGCAGCUAACGCAUUAAGUGCUCCACCUGGGGACUACGGCCGCAAGGCUA